CAUAGACUUCUAACAGACUGACAGAAGAGGCUGAAAGGUCCUGAGAAAACUAGGAACGAAAGGAGGCGAGUCUCUAAGAAGAUAACCGCGUGACCUGCUAGUCUCAAGAARGAAAAGACACUGAGACACUGCAAACUGAGGUAUCUUCCUUUAAUUAACAAGAAGUUUCUGUCGGAGAACUGAAAAGCCG